rnacentral:lncRNA from 10 species
CUAGAUAUUUGGCUCACACAUUUCAUCCUCAUAACAGCCCUAUGGUGUAGAGAAUAUCAUUAUCUCCACUUCACAGGUCAGGGGGCUGUGGACAAGAGGUCAGGCCAUUUGCCAAAGUCCUCCACUCAAUCUAUAGGUAGCGGGGCUGGGUUCCUAAGGAUGUCUGAUUCUGAAGCCUGGUCCUUGAUCUCUGUGCUCCAUGACCUUCUGUAAUCCCCACAGUCUCCCAAACAUCAAUGCUGUCAUUACAACCCCAUCACCUACCCUUACCCUUACCACACCAAAGAGUUACUCUUUUUUGAAAUCUGAAUCUCAGAUUUUCACUUUCCAGGCAAUUCACCAGGACAGAGGCCUUUCAACUUUCCUCCCUGAGAUCUUCCUCCGUGAACCAACAACAAAAGGACCAGCCACCUCACUGGUCCUCUGUUGCCAGUAGAAAAAGCCCUACAAGGAUUAAUGCAAGAAGAAGUUCUGCUUUGGGGUUCUAUGAGGCUGAAAAUAUUGGAUCAGUAUUCCUGAGGAAUCUGCGUUUCAGAAUCCCAGGUCCGGAAGGACAAGAAGUACUUUGCAAACAAAUCAAAUGUACGUUUAGGAAGAUGAAAUCAUGCAACAGAAAGAUUUUUCAGAAUUUUUCAGCAACAGAUUUUACACACAAUUCAGAAGGAAGAAAGAACAGAUGAGUUUGGGAAUCAGGAGACCAGAUGUCAAGACUGGACUACAUCUUUAUAUUCAUUUCCAGAUUUAAAGUUCUAUGUUGUAUUUUAUUUGAUGCAAAGCAAUAAAAUAUUCCUCCCUCCUGUGACCACCG